GGUCAAGCUACAAAGGGCUCACGGCGGAUACCUUGGCACACAGAGGCGAUGAAGGACGUGGUUACCUGCGAUAAGUCUCGGGGAGCUGGAAACACGCUUUGAUCCGGGAAUUUCCGAAUGGGGCAACCCCUAGUACGGCCAGCUGUAUCCAUAGGCUGGCACGAGCCAACCCAGCGAACUGAA
rnacentral:rRNA from 1 species